UACGUAGGGUGCGAGCGUUAAUCGGAAUUACUGGGCGUAAAGCGUGCGCAGGCGGUUAUUUAAGUCAGGUGUGAAAGCCCUGGGCUUAACCUAGGAAUUGCGCUUGAGACUGGAUAGCUUGGAGUGCGGCAGAAGGAGGUGGAAUUCCACGUGUAGCAGUGAAAUGCGUAGAGAUGUGGAGGAACACCGAUGGCGAAGGCAGCCUCCUGGGCCAGCACUGACGCUCAUGCACGAAAGCGUGGGGAGCAAACAGG
rnacentral:rRNA from 1 species